GGGGUUGUGGCUCAGAGGUAGAGCACUUGCCUGGCAUGCAUGAGGCACUGAGUUUGAUCCUCAGCACCACA
rnacentral:tRNA from 1 species